AUAUAUGCAAUGAUGAAGAAAAGUAAAUUCAAAUAGAUGAUUUUUAGAGAGUGGAUGAUGGUGAGAUAUCCGCAUGAGUCUUGAAUCGAAGAACACUUCGGAGCUAUUAACCGAAAUUUUAGAUUAAAAGAGUAGGCUUAAUCGGGUCCAUACCGUUAAAAGUGGAGAGUAUAAAAUAAUUAUGUUUUGUACUUCAUUGAGGUGAGUUUUUUAUAAACUAACUAGGGUGGUACCGCGAGUCAAUCUCGUCCCUAUG
rnacentral:ncRNA from 1 species